rnacentral:rRNA from 1 species
CAACGUUGGCGGAAUUCGUCGUGUAGCGGUGAAAUGCUUAGAUAUGACGAAGAACUCCGAUUGCGAAGGCAGCUGACGGGAGCGCAACUGACGCUGAAGCUCGAAGGUGCGGGUAUCGAACAGGAUUAGAUACCCUGGUAGUCCGCACGGUAAACGAUGGAUGCCCGCUGUGUGCCGCUGGGGUACGUGGCCAAGCGAAAGCGUUAAGCAUCCAACCUGGGGAGUACGCCGGCAACGGUGAAACUCAAAGGAAUUGACGGGCGCCCGCACAAGCGGAGGAACAUGUGGUUUAAUUCGAUGAUACGCGAGGAACCUUACCCGGGCUUGAACUGCAGAGGAAGCACUUAGAGAUAUGUGCGCCCUUAUAUCUCUCUGCGGACGUGCUGCAUGGUUGUCGCCAGCUCGUGUCGUGAGGUGUCUUCUUAACUAAAACAACGUGCGCCACUCCUCGUCGUGGCUGCCGUCUGAUGAUGGGGGCUACUCGGGGACGGCUGCCGCCAUGUGUGGGAGGAUGGGGAUGACGUCGUCUCAUCAUCCCCGGUGACACAGGGGUACUACACAUGUUAUACUGUGGAGUACUACAGAGAGUCAUAGCGUGUAGAAUCCCACACCUAAAAACUCCCCUCAGUGUGACACUGGCGUCUGCACCUUAA